CCCAAGGAUGGGGCCGCGGCCGAUCAGGUUGUUGGUGAGGUAAUGGCUCACCAAGCCUUUAACCGGUGCGGGCCGUGGGAGCGGAAGCCCGGAGAUGGGCACUGAGACAAGGGCCCAGGCCCUACGGGGCGCAGCAGUCGCGAAAACUUCGCAAUAAGCGAAAGCUUGACGGGGCUAUCCCGAGUGCCAUCCGCUGAGGACGGCUUUUCUCCAGUGUAGAUAGCUGGAGGAAUAAGGAGAGGGCAAGUCUGGUAUCAGCCGCCGCGGUAAUACCAGCUCUCCGAGUGGUGGGGAUGAUUAUUGGGCCUAAAGCAUCCGUAGCCGGCUGGGCAAGUCCCCUGUUAAACCCAGCGAUUUAAUCGUUGGCUCGCGGGGGAUACUGCUCGGCUAGGGAGCGAGAGAGGCCGUCGGUAUUCCCGGGGUAGGGGUGAAAUCCUAUAAUCCCGGGAGGACCACCAGUGGCGAAGGCUGUCGGCUAGAACGCGCCCGACGGUGAGGGAUGAAAGCUGGGGGGAGCGAACCGGAUUAGAUACCCGGGUAGUCCCAGCUGUAAACGAU
rnacentral:rRNA from 1 species